ACUGGGCUUAAAGAGCACGUAGGUGGUUAGAAAAGUUAGUGGUGAAAUCCCAAGGCUUAACCUUGGAACUGCCACUAAAACUUUUUAACUAGAGUAUGAUAGAGGUAAGCGGAAUUUCUAGUGUAGAGGUGAAAUUCGUAGAUAUUAGAAAGAACACCAAUUGCGAAGGCAGCUUUCUGGAUCAUUACUGACACUGAGGUGCGAAAGCAUGGGUAGCGAAGAGGAUUAGAUACCCUCGUAGUCCAUGCUGUAAACGAUGUGUGCUAGACGUUGGAAAUUUUAUUUUCAGUGUCGCAGCAAAAGCGUUAAGCACACCGCCUGGGGAGUACGACCGCAAGGUUAAAACUCAAAUGAAUUGACGGGGACCCGCACAAGUAGUGGAGCAUGUGGUUUAAUUCGAAGAUACGCGCAGAACCUUACCAACACUUGACAUGUUCGUCGCGACUUUAAGAGAUUAAAGUUUUCGGUUCGGCCGGACGAAACACAGGUGCUGCAUGGCUGUCGUCAGCUCGUGUCGUGAGAUGUUGGGUUAAGUCCCGCAACGAGCGCAACCCUUACUUUUAGUUGCUACCAUUUAGUUGGGCACUCUAAAAGAACUGCCAGUGAUAAGCUGGAGGAAGGUGGGGAUGACGUCAAGUCCUCAUGGCCCUUACGUGUUGGGCUACACACGUGCUACAAUGGUACUUACAGUGAGAAGCAAAGAGGCGACUCUAAGCCAAUCCCAAAAAGGUACCUCAGUUCGGAUUGUACUCUGCAACUCGAGUACAUGAA
rnacentral:rRNA from 1 species